rnacentral:lncRNA from 1 species
GUUUAAUUGAAUUUUAUACAAUAUUUUUUAGCCCGAUAACUUUGAUACUGAUAAAAAUGGACUCGAGAAUGACAUUAUGCUACUGCAGCUCCAGAAACCACUUAAAUUCGGAUCUACCAUCAGUAAAAUCGACCUUGACACUGAUAUAGGCAAAAAUUAUACAGGAGACUUGUGCACAAUAACAGGAUGGGGACGAAACGGUGGUAUGUUUUAUAAAAUUGAAAUCUUUUGCUUACAUAUUAAUUGUGCAUGCAAAUAAGUGAUAAUACUUUUGGUUCUCCAUUGUUCACCUUCAAAUUCAAAAGAAAUUUAAUAUAAUCAAAUAUAAGUAUAUAGAAAACAGAUAUUGCAGAAAGUAUGUUUUCAAAGAUUGAAAUCUGAUUACAUUAAACUAAUCUGGUAAUUAAACAAAAACUGAGGAAAGCGCAUGAUUCCAAAAACAACGAGAAUAACAGCUUACACAAGCUGGGCUAAAGAUAUCAGAGAGACAUUCAAACUCAUGAAUCCACUAUCUUCCAUAAACAACGACCAUAUAUGUUGAAUUCGUUUGGGAAUGAAUUAAAAGUAUGUGAUUGAAAUUAAAACUAACAAGUACAUUUUGAUAUAGGGAAAAGAGCAAUAUAAUAUUGACUUCUCCAACCAAAAUUAGCAGCUGUUAUUUUGAUAAUGUUUUAUUUGUAAUUUCUUUCAAAUAGUUUAAUUGAUGUGGCUUCUCCGCGAAUGGUGGCUGAAGUAAAUAGGACGAAAGUAAACAAAUAAGUAUACAAGUGACAAUGAACCACUUAUGGACUAUUAGACUAUUUACCGGAUUUGUAAUCACAUAAGCAACACGACGGGUGCCACAUGUGGAGCAGGAUCUGCUUACCCUUCCGGAGCACCUGAGAUCACCCCUAGUUUUGGUGGGGUUCGUUUGUUUAUUCUUUAGUUUUCUAUGUGUUUUUCAUUUUAAUGCGUUUGUCAGUUUGUUUUAGAUUUAUGAGUUUGACUGUCCCUUUGGUAUCUUUCGUCCCUCUUUUAUGCUUAUCUUUGAAUACAUAUUUAAAAUCGUUUUUCUGAAUUUUUAAAGUUCUUGCGAUAUAUAAGUAAAAUAUGGUAUUAUUGGAAACACGAUAGCUACAUUUUGUAUUCACAAGUGUUAAAACUGCAUAGACGUAAACAAUUACAGCAUAUGACCUUUAGCAAUGAGAAACAGCAGAACUUUUUGGUCAGCUAUAAAAGACCCGGACAUGAAAAGUGCGAAAUAAUUAUUACGAGAAAACCUUCGAUCUUGUUUUCAUCGUAUCAAUUAACUGGAAAAUAAAUAUGAAAGAGAUUUUUAAAAAAAUAUUUGAUUACAGAGGGGAAUUCACCCGAUCGUCUGCAAAUAGUUUCUAUGCCUGCAGUCAAUAAUGAAUACUGUGGAACUGCUAAUUUCUUUGAUGAGACGUAUUGGAAUAACAUUCUUUGUCUUCAGGAGAUUGGAAAGGAUUCAUGUACUGUAACUACAUUUUAUUUGACCAAAAUCUAUCAUUCAUAAUUAUAAACGCAAAUUUGUAGAUUUAACGUUGUUUGGGUAAAUUUUUGAGUCAUGUAAAAAUUAGGAGAUGUGGGUUGAUAGCAAAAGAGACAAUGUUCCACCUACAUUCAAAUGAAGUGAAUGUUGGCAAUCAUAGGCAAUCGUACGGUCAUCAAUAAUAGGAACUACCAAUAAUGUAUGGUCGUCUAUAAAAAAGGCCCCAGCAUGCAAAAUAUGACACAAGAAUAUUUCAUGAUUUAUUUUGAUAGGCUUUUAAAAAUAAUGGGAAAACUAGCCUUUGUUUGACCUGAUAUCACAAACAGACGUGAAAGCACGUAAUGCUUGUACCAAGUCAGGAAUACGACAGUUCUUGUCCAUUCGUUUUUGAUGCGUUUUGUUAUUUGAUUUUGCCAUGUGAUUAUGGACAUUCCGAAUUGAUUUUCCUCUAAGUUCAGUAUUUUUGUGAUUUUUCUUUUUGGUAUCGUGUUGUUGCUUUUUAUAACUUUUCAAUUAUUUUUGAGAUAUAAAUGAAUAAUUCAAAUGACACGAAAGAAGCAAGAUAAGAUGAUAUUUAAAGUUUCUCUUAUAUAUACAGGGUGAUAGUGGUGGACCAGUGAUUUGCAAUAACGAUAAAAAGUUAGCAGGAACACUAUCAUUUGGGCUAGGAUGUAAUCAGACUACACCAAGUGUUCAUACAAGAAUUUCUAGAUACUUAGAUUGGAUCAAAGACACAGUUAAUACGAAAAAUAAGAAGAAUAAGAAAGAUAAGAAAACCAAGAAAAAUACGAAGGCGAAGGGGAAAAAAAGCAACAGUAAUAAAAAAAAUAAAAAUUGAUACUUCAAUAAAAUAAAAAAAAUGAAUGUUAGUUAUUCAAAAUGUUGUUGUUGUAUUUUUUUCUCUCAGACUUUAAUUCAAAAGGGAAAUCAAAGGAUGAGGAUUCGAAUUAGAAACACUGAAAUUGAACAUACGAUUACCAAACAGGUCCGUGUUACACUUAUUAAUUCAAAAUUUUAAAGAGUUUUUAAAUUGUAGAUU